AAUCAACGCUGGCGGCGUGCCUCAGACAUGCAAGUCGAACGAUUAAGACUCUCUUCGGAGAGUGUAUAAAGUGGCGCACGGGUGAGUAACACGUAGGUAAUGUACCGAAGGGUGGGGAAUAACUUAGGGAAACUUAAGCUAAUACCGCAUAAUGCAGCGGCUCGACAUCGAGACAGUUGUUAAAGGAGCAAUCCGCCUUUUGAGCAGCCUGCGGCAGAUUAGCUAGUUGGUAAGGUAAUGGCUUACCAAGGCUACGAUCUGUAACCGACCUGAGAGGGUGGUCGGUCACACUGACACUGAAUAACGGGUCAGACUCCUACGGAGGCAGCAGUCGGGAAUUUUGGGCAAUGGGCGAAAGCCUGACCCAGCAACGCCGCGUGAAGGAUGAAGUAUUUCGGUAUGUAAACUUCGUAAGAAUAGGAGGAAUAAAUGACGGUACUAUUUGUAAGGUCCGGCUAACUACGUGCCAGCAGCCGCGGUAA
rnacentral:rRNA from 1 species